ensembl:snRNA U2 U2 spliceosomal RNA
AUCACUUCUCAGCCUUUCGGCUAAGAUCAAAUGUAGUAUCUGUUCUUACUGGUUUAAAAUUGGUGAUGAGUACACAACUUUAUCAAUGUACUAGAAACACUGAACUAGGUAUUUGUAAGGAGUGGAUUUUGUAUUCAGUAAAUUAUACCUCACUAAAGCUAU